CUAGUACUUCCUCCUUCCGACAACGGAUGUCUCAACUUUGAUUAAAUUUAGAUGCAUCUAAACACUAAGUCAUGUUUAGAUGCAUCCAAAUUUUGACAAACUUGAGACAUCUUUUGUUGGACGGAGGGAAUAGCAU
rfam:Brachypodium distachyon strain Bd21 chromosome 4, whole genome shotgun sequence.